rnacentral:rRNA from 1 species
UACGUAGGGGCAAGCGUUGUUCGGAUUACUGGGCGUAAAGGGCGCGUAGGCGGCGUGACAAGUCACUUGUGAAAUCUCCGGGCUUAACUCGGAACGGUCAAGUGAUACUGUCGGACUAGAGUACAGAAGGGGCAACUGGAAUUCUCGGUGUAGCGGUGAAAUGCGUAGAUAUCGAGAGGAACACCUGCGGCGAAGGCGGGUUGCUGGGCUGAUACUGACGCUGAGGCGCGAAAGCCAGGGGAGCGAACGGG